UUGAAGCAUGACCGUAAGGACAUGUGGACAGUAUGGGAGUGAGAAUGUUGGCAUGAGUAGCGAGAUGUGGGUGAGAAUCCCACAGGCCGUAAACCCAAGGUUUCCAGGGGAAGGUUCGUCCGCCCUGGGUUAGUCGGGACCUAAGCUGAGGCCGAAAGGCGUAGGUGAUGGACAACAGGUUGAUAUUCCUGUACUACCGAUAACCGUUUGAGAGAAGGGAUGACACAGUAGGAUAAGCUAAGCACACUGUUGGUUAUGUGUGCCCAAGCAUUGAGGCAGUCAAAGUAGGCAAAUCCGCUUUGAUAAUGCUGGGAUGUGAUGGGGAGCGAAAUUUAGUAGCGAAGUAGCUGAUUUCACACUGUCAAGAAAAGUCUCUAUCGAGGUUAAAGGUACCCGUACCGCAAACCGACACAGGUGGGUGAGGAGAGUAUCCUAAGGCCAGCGAGAGAACUGUUGUUAAGGAACUCGGCAAAAUGACCCCGUAACUUAGGGAUAAGGGGUGCCACCAUCAGGUGGCCGCAGAGAAUAGGCCCAAGCGACUGUUUACCAAAAACAUAGGUUUCUGCUAAGUCGCAAGACGAUGUAUAGGAGCUGACGCCUGCCCGGUGCUGGAA
rnacentral:rRNA from 1 species